UUACAGAGCUUGUAUAUUUUCAUAGCUCAAACAAUCGAAAAUUGAAUUAUAGAUGGGUGGAUAUUUAGGGAUAUCUGCGUUCCUUGAAGAAGACAACAUAUUCUGAAGCUUUGAGAAUUCUAAGGAAAAAGAUUGGCUUUCAAUUCACCGAAGCUGAGUGUCUCAAGAUUGAUGUAAAAGAGAAGAAAGUCUAUUGCCAAUCUAAUUUAGAGAAUGGGGAAAAAGAAAUUUGAGUGGACUACGACUACCUUGUAAUAUUUGUGGGAGCAAAUGUUAAUACAUUCAAUACUCCUGGUGUGAUGGAGAACUGCCAUUUCUUGAAGGAAGUAGAAGAUGCCCCAGAAGAUACGAAGAACUGUUAUUGAAUGCUUUGAAAAGGCUAGCCUGCCAACUGUAAAUGAUGAGGAGAAGGAGAGAAUUCUUCAUUUUGCCGUUGUUUGAGGUGGCCCAACUGAGGUUUAAAGCAGAACAGCAGCUACAAUGUCAAAGCUACAGAGUUUAAACUCAAGAGUCAUUACUGGAUACUUACUAGCAGGAUCUGCCAUUGGACCCAGUCACCCAGAGGCUUGAAUUUUGGCCUUGGAUUACAAGUUGUGAAAUAUUUGGCUGCCAAAUAUGAAGAGCUAGGGUGUGAAGUGAAAUGGAUGGGCAAGCCUGAUAAGGUGAUCUAGUCACAUUGGUCUGGUUACCGCUGUUAACUUCACUUCAUGUGAACCUUUAGCUUAAUACAUAUUUCUCUUGCACUUGACUACCAAGAUGAAUUUUGAGCAAGGCUACUUUUUUGCUUUGAAGCAAAGCUUGGUGUAGAAAUUUUGUAGAUUGUUGCUCAUAUGUUUCUAGGAUAUCCUUUGUAGGUUUUGGGGUUUUCUUUUGUGACAUAUGUUCAAUCAUGAAUUUGGAAAGAAAAUUAAUGGAAAGCCCCAAUUUUUGGAUGAUUAUGAAAUGCAUUUCUUUUCCCAGCAGCAGCUAGAUGCAAACUU